GAUGAACGCUGACAGAAUGCUUAACACAUGCAAGUCAACUUGAACUUCGGUUUGGGUGGCGGACGGGUGAGUAACGCGUAAAGAACUUGCCUCACAGAUAGGGACAACAUUUGGAAACGAAUGCUAAUACCUGAUAUUAUGAUUUUAGGGCAUCCUAGGAUUAUGAAAGCUAUAUGCGCUGUGAGAGAGCUUUGCGUCCCAUUAGCUAGUUGGGGAGGUAACGGCUCACCAAGGCGAUGAUGGGUAGCCGGCCUGAGAGGGUGAUCGGCCACAAGGGGACUGAGACACGGCCCUUACUCCUACGGGAGGCAGCAGUGGGGAAUAUUGGACAAUGGACCAAGAGUCUGAUCCAGCAAUUCUGUGUGCACGAUGAAGUUUUUCGGAAUGUAAAGUGCUUUCAGUUGGGAAGAAAAAAAUGACGGUACCAACAGAAGAAGUGACGGCUAAAUACGUGCCAGCAGCCGCGGUAAUACGUAUGUCACAAGCGUUAUCCGGAUUUAUUGGGCGUAAAGCGCGUCUAGGUGGUUAUAUAAGUCUGAUGUGAAAAUGCAGGGCUCAACUCUGUAUUGCGUUGGAAACUGUGUAACUAGAGUACUGGAGAGGUAAGCGGAACUACAAGUGUAGAGGUGAAAUUCGUAGAUAUUUGUAGGAAUGCCGAUGGGGAAGCCAGCUUACUGGACAGAUACUGACGCUGAAGCGCGAAAGCGUGGGUAGCAAACAGG
rnacentral:rRNA from 1 species